rnacentral:lncRNA from 10 species
AUUUCAAGAUAAUUAAAGAUAAUAAACUGAAAAAAUAUUAGAACAACGUAAAAUCCAUAACAUACACCAGAAAAAUAGCUUUAUAAAUACAUGUAUUAAUGUCUUACUAAAUGUCAGAAAGAUAUACAGAGCUAAAAGCUUUGUAAAAUAUGUAAGAUAAUAUAUCAACAUCACCAGUAUAUAAAAAAUUCUCAACGCAAAACAAAUAGAGAUAAAAUGUAUGAAGAAAACAAAUGAAUGACCUAUCAAAUAUGUAAAAAUAUUCCAAAUCAAACACUCAUGAAAAUUAAUGCAACAUUUUACCUUUUUUUUAAUUCAUUAGAUUGACAACACUGAACGACCUAAUACCCAGUAUUGCCUAGGCCAUAGAAAAAUUCACACUCUUUGAAGUUAUUGUGGAAUUGUAGAUUGUUAAAGCUUCUCCUGGAAAAGGGAUAAUUCAGCAUUACUCAUUAAAAUUAAUGUCAGAUUUUUUCUUUGCCCCCAAAUUUAUACUUCUAGAAUGUUAUUUUAUAAGGAUUCUUAAACAUGUGUAAAAACAUGAACUUCCGUGUGUGAAUCAAAGUAUUAUUCACUGAUAGCAAAACACAGCAAGAACCUAAGUAAUCUUUAAGCAGAAAAUUAUAUAAUAAAUUUGUGUGUGUGCAUGCAAAAGUGUAGAAAAGGAACUAGCAGAAAUGACCUCUGAAAAAUGAAUAAUUCAUUGAUAGAAGGGGAAAAAAGAAACAGCAUAACCAAUCUGAGAAAGAGAAUGUUUCUCUUUCCAGUGUCAUUGAUCAAUUUCAAGACCCCGUCUUUUCUCAUGGGCCUUUAGACUGGGUCGGGGCAUGUGCCCCAGAAAUUGAGAUUCAUGGAUCAGAUGCAGCUUGUUCAUCUUGUUCGCUGGUACAGGAAAUGAUGUGGAGCUCUUCCAAUGGAUUCAGAAAGAGUCACAAGUGGAAAUUAAAUUUAAGUGGAUUUUAGCUAUCCAUUUUAAAUAAUUUGUGGAUGUUAAGUUAUUCUGGGGUGAGAAUAGUAGCAACUGCCCAAUUCUAGACCACAAAAAUUGUGCACCCAUUUCCUCUUGUAAUGCGAUAGGAUUAGCUGUUACAUUUAAGUCUCUGAUCUAUAUUGAGUUAAUUUUUGUGUACAGUGUAAAACAGUUGUCCAAUUUCAUUCUUUUGCAUGUGGAUUUUCAGUUGUCCCAGCCUUGCUGAAAACACUAUUCUUUCCCCUGUUGAAUUGUUGCAGCACCUAUGUUGAAAAUUAAUUGACCAUAAAUGUGAAGUUUUAUAUCUGGAUUCUCAAAUAUAUGCCAUUAUAUA